ensembl:lncRNA
GUUUUAUAAAAUCAGACUAUUCAAAUAACCACAAAGUUCCAAAAGGAAAACAGAAAUGAUGCACCCUUGGGAAAAUUCAGUGGUGGAGGUGGCAACUUACUGUAUUAGGAUUCCCCCUGAGAAUCCAAAGAUCCUCCCUCUUCUGUUCUCCCCAGCGUGCCUUGCUCUUCUAUGGUAAGGCAUGCCUCCUUAUCCAGAGCAUAGCCUCUUCUUAUACCAAGCAUCUGCCACAAAAAAAAACCAAACCAUUAGGAAUAUCCAUCAAAGUGGGAUGACAAAGUAAGAUACUAAACUGGAGGCAUCCAGGCAGAAGCCUUUCUCUAGCAACUAAAAGUACAAAAAUGAAAGUUCCUUCCAACUACGGACUUCUUCUGAUUUCCCAUGACAUAGACCUAGAAUAGUGUGAAGGUUCAGCGGGAGCACAUUGUUUUGCUGCUAGAUCUAAGACUGCCAAGAUUUUUGUGGCAGAAAAUAGUUUGAUUUCCUAGGAAAGCACAAUCUGAUUUCUAUGGUAGCAGGAAGGAACUUUGAGGAUAUGACAGGCGAGGUGUGGUUGCUUUGACUAAAAGCAUACAUCUUGAUGCUUUAGGCAUGAGAAUGCUUGGCACUGAUUCACCUGGUGCAUUAGCCCACUUUAAGAAACAUGCACAGCUUCCAGAGUCCCUACCUAUCUGGAUGCAGAUGAUGAGGCUCUAAGGCAUCAGCACUGCUUCUCAGACACACACCUCAUAACCAGCAGUAGCUCCAGCACUGUGGUUGCCUUGGUUGAUCUCUGCUUCUAGAUGUCUUAUGCCACAUGAUAUGUAUCUCCGUGUCAAAGCCUCAGAUCCCAUAUAGCAGGCUCAUUCUUCCGUUCCUGGAAGCACCUGUGGUUACCAGCAGUCUUCCCACUACUUCUUUGUAGUGUCUAUCUGGGCUGAUGACAACUGCCCUCCUUCACAACAGACUUUUGGAGCUCGUACAUGGUAGUUCUCCAUGAGCCUGGAAGUGCCCAGCACCUUCACCAGCAGAGGGUCUGUGCUAUCUGUGGGAGUUACUACACCUGGCUGGAGAGCUGGAGCCUGAGGGUCUUUCUGACUGGGGCAGACACCUUUCCUUCUAAGAGGAACAAAAGGCAGGAGAGGCCUUGGAGGAGACACAGGAUGAACGUGGAGCGCAGCUGGAUCAGAUCAAUCACGCUUCAUGGCCAAGGGAGUACCUCACUUUAUCCUUCGGUUGAUGAAGACUAUGAUGACAGAAUUCCCAGUCAAGGCACACCAUUUGGAAGGAGCUGAGAGAAGGAGGACUGCUCUCCUCCAUACCUGCUGGCUCUUGCCAGCUCCCUGCCUUGGACAGUGGACUGGGAAACACAAGAGUGUGAGCAAUCUGGCAGCUCCUCCUCUGGCUGGGCAGCUAGCUGGAGCAGUUGCCAUAUGCAGUCAUAUUCCCUUGUCUUUGUGCUUAGAAUUAUGGAAAACCUCCAGAGAGGUUCAUUGUUGCAGAAAUCAUCGUGUAGACUUCAGAUACAGCCCGCAGUGUCCGUCACUUGGUGCUUGUCUUGAGGAAAUGCUGCAGAGGAGCCUGUUUGGAUAUCAGCUGUAGAAUUAACCUGGUCAAGUUGGCUCUGCUGAGGUAAUCACAUUAAAUGCUAAGAACGUGGUAUGCGUGACAUCAGUUUUUGGUGCCACUUCUAGAAAGGAAGAGGGAUCUUGCUAAGAUCUUGCUAAGCAGGCUAUGCUGGUUUCUCUGUGGGACAAGGUGCAGUAAUUACAGUUGCAUGCUAAGGACCUUUUACAGAAUUCUCCUCUGCCUUCCUCGUUCUGUGAAGCAGAUCUGGAAGAAACAGCAUCAUGGAAGCCAGUGGGUUUCAUGUGUACUACACUGCUGGGCAAAGGAUAAGAGGAAGAGUGGUCACUGAUAAAUCAUCUGUGUCAUUAUCAUUUAUAUGUAUCUAUGUGGGAUGAAAGGAUUAGAGUCAUAAAUAUACUUCCUUCUCUGAUAUCCAAGCCACGAAAAUGUAGAAAAAAAUGUUUUCUCGGCUGUCAGGGGUUACAGAAGUGGUGAAAAAAACACCACCACCUCCAAAAGCUUUACUAAAUCCUGUGAGGUAGCAGGAGCAGUGCCCAGGACAUGGCAUGAGGUGCCAACAACAACAACCAGCAUAAACAAGCUCACUGCCAGUGGGUGAGGCUCCUUCAGGGUAGGCCGUAUUACCUCUGCCAUUUACUCAGUGCAGCCAAAUCCCACAGAAGAAAGAAUGGGCCAGGCACACAUUUGUUUCUGACAGAAAGCUGUGCAUCUUUUGUACACAUCAGCUGUGCUAAGCCAUCUCAUUCUGCCAAUGCAUUACUGUUGCACUGGCUGAUCUGAGAUCAGGUUCCUCCCUUUUCCGUCUGCCUGCACCCAUCUCCUUCUGCAACCCUCUGGUGUGUAUAUUCACUCUUUCAUGGCUCUGAUUCAUGAGAGUUUCUCUGUUCUGUUCAGAAGAAUAGUAGUAACUCAUGGCUGCCUUCUGGUUGGCAACUGUAAAGAAAAUCUUCUUGGCGCAUACAGAAAAUUGCAAGUUGUAUUGUCUAUGGAAGAGUCACCCCCACCGAUGUGUAAAAGGUAUUACAAACUCACGUGGGAGCUAGCAAGUCCUUCCAACAUGCUUUCAGGUCAACUGUUUCCCCUGAGUUUUAUAUCAUUCCAUUCGAUGACAAGGAAAGUUUCUUUCAUUGUGUUCUGUUGUACUUGUAAAACAUAAAAAUGAAAUGUGUAAGCCCACGAAGUUCAUAUAAAUCCUCUUGCUCUGUUUAUUCUAGCUUGGUUCUUGUGUACACUUAUCUCUGGGUAAAAAAAAUCAUCUAAAUUUUUCUUUAUAUUGUAUCUCUGUUUAUUGUCAUAAUGGAAAUUCUCAAAACCACAAGUCACCAGAAGCACCUCAGUUCUGAACUUUUAAGCUAGUAAGUCCUGGAAGCUUUUCUCUCCAGAGCUAUUUCAAAAUGUCAAGAGAAGAAUUAUUCCAUCGCUUUAGCUAUAGCAG